rnacentral:rRNA from 1 species
AACUCUGGGUAUUGAUUGGGUGCUUGCAUCAUGAUUUACAUUUGAGUGAGUGGCGAACUGGUGAGUAACACGUGGGAAACCUGCCCAGAAGCGGGGGAUAACACCUGGAAACAGAUGCUAAUACCGCAUAACAACUUGGACCGCAUGGUCCGAGCUUUGAAAGAUGGCUUCGGCUAUCACUUUUGGAUGGUCCCGCGGCGUAUUAGCUAGAUGGUGGGGUAACGGCUCACCAUGGCAAUGAUACGUAGCCGACCUGAUAGGGUAAUCGGCCACAUUGGGA